UAUCAGCCCAUCACAGGUAUAGGGGUCCGGAAAAAUCAAUAUUUUUCUGCCCCACCCGCGAACACGCAUGCGUGGUGGUAUAACUGGUGGUAUUGGUACCGCCCUGGGGUAGCCGAGGCGAGUGGUGCUGACCCAGGUUUCACUCCUGUGGUACCAGUCGAGUAGGCAACACAGCCGACAUGUUAAGCUCCGUGGGGUUCUUUGGACCCUGGCGGUUCAGGCCACCUUAAUUCGAAAAGGCAGUUGCAUUGGACGAACGAUCACUCUGAGCAGAGCAAUCAAAAUGUGCACGAAGGAGUUCUGAAAAUUAAGGUAGUUGUUUUGCU